rnacentral:tRNA from 1 species
GGGCACGUGGCGUAGUGGUAUCGCGUUUGCUUCGCACUAGCAUCAGUUCUCUGAUAGCGACGAUUGUAAAAGGUCUCCGGUUCAAUCCCGGACGUGUCCA